rnacentral:rRNA from 1 species
UAAUUAGAUAGAUCCGAAUUAUUAUGUAUUUUGUUCAGUAUAUUAAGUAAUAGAUUAUAUAUAAAUGAAAUACUUAUCUAAAUAUCUUAAAUAUUAUUUUUAAUAAUAUUUUAUAAUAAUUCUUAUCUUUAUAAUAUAUUUAAUAGAUAUAAAUUCUUAAAUAUAUAUUAUAUUAUAUAAUAUUUAUAUUGUAUAAUGUAAUUAAAGAGAAAAUCUCUAAUUGGUAGUUUUGAUGGGGCGUCAUUUUCAGCAAAAGUAUCUGAAUAAGUCCAUAUAUAAAUUAUAAUGUUAUUAAUUAACAAAUUAUAUAUUAUAUAUAAUAAUUAUUCACAUCUUUAUUUUAUAAUAUGAUUUUAAUUAUAAUAUAAAAUAAAGUAAAUAAUAGAAAAGAUUAUGUACAGUAAAAUUGUCAUGAAAACAAUAAUAUUAAAAAAUAUUAAAUUAAUAUAAUGGUAUAACUGUGCAACAAUUGUAACACUCACAAGUGAAACAAGUACGUAAGUAUGGCAUAAUGAACAAAUAACACUGAUUGUAAAUGGGGUUAUUGGAUAACCGG